rnacentral:piRNA from 1 species
UGGGUGCUAGUAUCUGCCUGAAUGUUUUCU